rnacentral:lncRNA from 1 species
AGCCACUUGUGCACCUACUUCUUCCAUCUCAAACCUCCUUAAUUCACAACUCUCUAAUUAAAUAUGCACCAUACACAUACAUACAUACAUACAUACAUACAUACAUACAUACACCCAAUUCAAUUCAUAAAAUUAAGCCCCAAUAUAAAAGCUGCAACUUUUCAUUCUCCCAAAUAAAUACUAAUGCUUUUCAAAAAAAAAAAUAAAUACUGAUAGGUAAGAAAUCACACCGAGACGGUUUAGUAUAAUUUUUUUAAAUAAAUAAAUAAAUUUUUUUUAAAAAAAAAAAACAGACACACACAUACGCACAAAGUAGCGGAAGAAUUUAUCAGCAGAAAUUGAAUAACCACUGAC